rnacentral:rRNA from 1 species
GACGAACGCUGGCGGCGUGCUUAACACAUGCAAGUCGAACGGAAAGGCCCUGCUUUUGCGGGGUGCUCGAGUGGCGAACGGGUGAGUAACACGUGAGUAACCUGCCCCUGACUUUGGGAUAACUCCAGGAAACUGGGGCUAAUACCGGAUAGGAGCUCCUGCUGCACGGUGGGGGUUGGAAAGUUUCGGCGGUUGGGGAUGGACUCGCGGCUUAUCAGCCUGUUGGUGGGGUAGUGGCUUACCAAGGCUUUGACGGAUAGCCGGCCUGGGAGGGUUACCGGCCACAAUGGGACUGAGAUACGGCCCAGACGCCUACGGGAGGCAGCAGUGGGGAAUAUUGCACAAUGGGCGGAAGCCUGAUGCAGCAACGCCGGGUGCGGGAUGACGGCCUUCGGGUUGUGAACCGCUUUCGCCUGUGACGAAGCGGGAGUGACGGUAAUGGGUAAAGAAGCACCGGCUAACUACGUG